ACUGCAAGUCGAACGGCAGCGGGGGAAGCUUGCUUUCCUGCCGGCGAGUGGCGAAUGGGUGAGUAAUACAUCGGAACGUGCCCUGUAGUGGGGGAUAACUAGUCAAAAGAUUAGCUAAUACCGCAUACGACCUGAGGGUGAAAGUGGGGGACCGCAAGGCCUCAUGCUAUAGGAGCGGCCGAUGUCUGAUUACCUAGUUGGUGGGGUAAAGGCCUACCAAGGCGACGAUCAGUAACUGGUCUGAGAGGACGAUCAGCCACACUGGGACUGAGACACGGCCCAGACUCCUACGGGAGGCAGCAGUGGGGAAUUUUGGACAAUGGGCGAAAGCCUGAUCCAGCAAUGCCGCGUGUGUGAAGAAGGCCUUCGGGUUGUAAAGCACUUUUGUCCGGAAAGAAAUGGCUCUGGUUAAUACCCGGAGUUGAUGACGGUACCGGAAGAAUAAGGACCGGCUAACUACGUGCCACCAGCCGCGGUAAUACGUAGGGUCCAAGCGUUAAUCGGAAUUACUGGGCGUAAAGCGUGCGCAGGCGGUUGUGCAAGACCGAUGUGAAAUCCCCGGGCUUAACCUGGGAAUUGCAUUGGUGACUGCACGGCUAGAGUGUGUCAUAGGGAGGUAGAAUUCCACGUGUAGCAGUGAAAUGCGUAAAGAUGUGGAGGAAUACCGAUGGCGAA
rnacentral:rRNA from 2 species